ensembl:lncRNA
GUAACUUAUCUACAUGUCAUAUCACAUCAGUGUCAAUAAAUAGAUAAAUAACCCAAAUACAUUAAAGUUCAUACUCUUUCCCAACGUGCACACCUUCAUGUCUUUUCUCAGGGACUGGGUAUAGAGGAGAGAACAGGAGAGGUUGGGAGGAACAGAGGAUGGGGAACAGGAGAGGUUGGGAGGAACAGAGGAUGGGGAACAGGAGAGGUUGGGAGGAACAGAGGAUGGGGAACAGGAGAGGUUGGGAGGAACAAAGGAUGGGGAGCAGGAGAGGUUGGGAGGAACAGAGGAUGGGGAACAGGAGAGGAUGGGGAGCAGGAGAGGUUGGGAGGAACAGAGGAUGGGGAGCAGGAGAGGUUGGGAGGAACAGAGGAUGGGGAGCAGGAGAGGUUGUGAGGAACAGAGGAUGGGGGCAGGAGAGGUUGGGAGGAACAGAGGAUGGGGAGCAGGAGAGGUUGGGAGGAACAGAGGAUGGGGGCAGGAGAGGUUGGGAGGAACAGAGGAUGGGGAG